GGCGUGCCCUGAUCGCCCAGCCCUCAGCGUUGGUUUGGGUCUGUGGCAGUCGCCCACUUGUCCAGAGCGAGAGGUGCUGGUGUCGCAGGCCUGGGUGUCUGUGGGCUGCCAAAGGACCGAGCUGCCCUCCAGAGCCCAGAGGCGCAGCGUCCGGAGAGGUGGCCCGUGGCGGGGAGCUGAGCCUGGGACUCUUGUGAUGUGGACUUGGAAAAUUCUCCACUGCCACACAGGUGCUUGUGCAGUGGGAAUCUUGAGUCUGACCUUUGAUGGGUUGCCAGCUAGAGGGAGACAUGCUUUCCAGGCUUUGCUCCUGCAUCGCUAAUCUUCACCACAGAAUGGGCAGGGUUAGACUCACGGAAGACUGUGCAGAAGGAAGUUAAGUUUUAAAUUAAGGACUGGUUUGUAGAUAGGAGAUAGAUUUUUCUCCUCAGUCUUGCUGUUCUUCUUUCUCUGUGAUUCAGCCUGUUGUGCUCGCCUCUAUUGGAAAUGCAGACCAACACUGGCUAGAAAGUGUUUGGCAUAACAAGCCGCCAUUUUCUAGAAAAAUAAUAAUAGCUCCUCUAAAGUUCAAGG
rnacentral:lncRNA from 1 species